UUUGGGCGUGUCUCCCUUCUCGGGAGACUCUCUCGACCCCACGAACCCUUGACCUCAAAUCGGGUGAGACUACCCGCUGAACUUAAGCAUAUCAAUAAGCGGAGGAAAAGAAACUAACAAGGAUUCCCCUAGUAACUGCGAGUGAAGCGGGAAAAGCUCAAAUUUAAAAUCUGGUGGUCUUUGGCCAUCCGAGUUGUAAUUUAGAGAAGCGUCUUCCGCGCUGGACCGUGUACAAGUCUCCUG
rnacentral:rRNA from 1 species